AUGAAAAAGAUACAAUUCACAAUUUGAAGCAUCUUAGUGUAUUUUUGUAAUUGUCGAUAUUUGUAGCCUGUAUUGAUUAACGACAUUAUUUACAUCAAUCUCAAUGACUAAUUUCUUCAAAACAAUAGAUAUUCCCUUUCUCUAGAAUACCAUUGAAAGGUAGCCGAUCUCAUUCACUCACCAACUAAUGGAUGGGAUUACCGACAACUUCAUCGCCUGUUCACACUUGCUAGUUUCUUUGUUGGAAUUUAUUUCACCUGGGUAAUUCUAGCUCGGUGCAAUUUAGGGGUUCAUAUUUUGGGUGUUGCGAUUUCAAAGGCUGUUUCAUUGGAAAAGAUUCAAUUUUUAUUCUUCCAACAUCUUCAGGAGGAGGAGAGUGCCACGUGGCGCAUCGACGUUGUUACGCACGCCUUUUAAUAUAUAUGUACUAGCCUUCAUAUGCACGCGAUGCGUGCGUUAAUUCAAAAUUUGUUAUUCUAUUAGCAAAUAUGCCUCCUAAACGUGGACGGGGAAGGGGAAGAAGAGGACGGGGAGGGGGGGAGGAGGAAGAGGUGAAUUGCCAACUGGGAAAACAUCGUCUGAUGACCAUUAUGAUGUGGGAAGGUGGAACACUGCGAGAAACCCCACAUCAAUCGUCAAUGAGGCUCAAUUUUGCGGUAGACAUGAAUUUGAUUUCAGCGAUUGGAGAUAUAAAACACAAGGUGAUGCAAGCGAUAUGCUGGACUUUGAUGCAGGUUGUUCUUCCUUCCCACUACAUAGCGCUGUGGAGUGUUCUAAUGCAUAUGAGGUUGAAGAUUACUUUGAAAAUCUCCAGAAAUAUGGUUCUCACGUUUUCAGCCCUACUGUAGGAUUUAAAAGGGAAUCUUCAAUCCUAUUGUGUGGCAGUUAUGUUGAAAACACUGCGAUUUGUAGGGUAAAGAGUGGCAAGACAUUUUGGAAUUAUGUCCAAAAUGCUCAGGAGAACCUAGAGAAGAAAGGGUUGAAUGUUGAAAUCAAGAAGGUGUGUCGUCAAAUUCUACAGGUGAUGACCAAGCGACAUCAAAAUAAUCAGAUCAUUGGUAAUCUAUUAUAAAAUUUGAAUGUUAAUGCUGACACUCACGAAGUCACAUACAUCCGUUUUCAAAAAGUGAAUUGUAAGUUCUUUCUUAUUUUAGCUAAACUACUAAUGGGUAGUUGAAGAUGAUAAUACUUCUAUGUCAUAUAUUAUUAAGUAUAUGUUUUUGAACUUAUUAACAUUAAUUAUAUCGAGUAAAUGUCUUCUGUUUAUGUGUUUUCAA